UUUGCUUUAUUUCCCCUCUUAAACAUAUGGACACGUUUCACUGGAAUUGAUACGCAUUCUUACAUCAGACACGAUUCAGGUCCCGGUGCCUGACCAGUUCUCCCCCUUCCCCUUAGUCCACCGUGAGGUGGCUGCUGGGAACAGUUGCGUGUGUCCUCCCAGAUCUUUUUUGUUUAUUUGCAUACUUAUAAAUGUACAUGUCUGUUUGACGGGUUGAUUUUUUUCUAAUACAUGGCAUCAUACUGUAUGCAUUAUUCUCUAAUCCCCCGUUUCUCACGCCACUUACCGUUCAGGUUUCUGUCAUGCAGGGCUUCCGGGGUUGAAGGUUGCACAGCCCCCGUAGGAAUGAUUUGUUUUCCUCAGCUGCCGUUUUCUGGGAUUUGCAGAGCCGGCGUGUGGGAGGCAAUCUGGAAUUGCAGAAGGGGCAUGAGUUUAACUUCUCACUCGUCACUUGAGAGGCCCUCCCACACGCGUGACACCUCUCCUGUGGCUAGACGCCUCGUAUCUGUUCUUGGUUCCCUCCGCUCCGCAACAUUAUUGAGGACCUGCUGUCUGCCAGCCCUGUUUUGUUCGUGGACAUCGUGGUAGUGACUAGUUCCUGCUCUCGUGACUCUUAUAUUUAAACGGAGGAAGGCAAAACCAAGUGCACGCUUCUGUGCAUGGCAGGCGGGGGCACAGAGACCAGCAAACACAUAGAUACCACCUGGCCCCCCUUAGCCUCCGAUGAAGACCCCAGGGGAGUGCUGAGUCUGGCCCACCCGGAAGCCGGCCGCAGCCUUGCGGUCAGUCAGCUCCCUGACUCUGGUUCCGCCCGGCCGCGCAGCUUGUUCUGUCCUCAGCCUGCCCCUGGCGCUCACCGGCUCCUCUGAGAAAGCCCGCUCGGCUGCGAAGCGGGAGCUGUGCUCUGGGGACCGGGUAGCUGCGAGCUGGUGCGCUGGCUCAUCUCAAGUGGGUGUCCGUGUUUCCGAGAACCCCACUGGCUGCCUCCACGGGCCCCACGCAGGAUCGCUCCCAGUAGGGGAUUCCUUCAGGGAAGGGCGCCUGGUCUGUGGGCAAAGGAUUCCCUUGGGCUCUUAACAUGACUGAACGUUUACUAAAACUGACCCAAACCGCGGCUGGGUUGUGCUGCUAAAUGGUUGCUGUAGCGACUAGUCAUCUGCUUUGAGAUCCACAGAAUUUCCCCGCUUGGAGACCCAGCGCUAGUAAGCAUACCUGAUCUUCACGCUCCUCAGCCGACUCAGUUUAAUGACUGAUUUGUCCUCUUGAAGCUUAUUCACUGGUUUUUGGCACCUCAUUUCUCGGUGCUUUCUGGUGGAGCAGAAUGUGUCGUCUUGAUAGCAUUGUUAAGAGAGUCGGUGAUUGCUGACCAACACGGUGAUUUCUUUGUUCUUCUUAGUGAUCUUUGGCCUCUAAAAAAUAGGUGGUGAAAUGGAUGUAGAACUUUUUGGGGGUAAAUACUUUAUUUUUUGACAUGUUUUUUAUUGAUUUUAGAGAAAGAGGAAGGAAGAAGGAGAGAGAAACAUUGAUCGGUUGUCUCCCGUACGCACCCCACUUGAGAAUCAAACCCAAAACCCAGAUGUAUGCCCUGGCUGGGAAUCGAACCAGCGACCUUCCAGUGCGUGGGAUGAAGCUCAACCAACUGAGCACACCAGCCAGGGCUCGAGGGUUCAUACUCGAGGGGUAACCGCAGCCGUUAAGUUCUUUCCUCCUAGAGCAGCGUCCGCCUUUCCUCUGUCACGUACUUGCAUUGAGUUAGAGAAAAGGGUGUCUCUCAGAAAACAGAUCAGCUGCUGAGUCCAGACUGUUUUCUGGCAUUUUUCUACACACAGACUCAGAGCAAAGAAUAGUACUGAUGCCGCAAAACUUAGCCUUGGCUCAGGGCCGGCUCACCCUCCUACCUCUUAACCGUCCCAUGCACUCAGGUCUGCUCUCAGCCACUUGCUGUUACAGAAGAGCGAGCCAGGGCUGGGCCGGGGAAGCGAGACUGACAGCUUCUGGUUCUUCUGUUUAAUUAAGCAAGGGAACCUUUGCCCUUUGCCCAGCAGCAGGGGGAGACUUUUCUGUUGUUUUAUACUAUGUCUAUUGUAAUUUCAAACUUUUCAAGUUGGGAGGACUCCCAUGUAUGCUUUGCUGUGCUUGGUUGUGGGAGCCCAUUUCUGUUCCUCUUUAUGUCCUUCGUUAGUUUGAAGGCAAAUAACAUGCAAACCUCUGGUAUCCCUCCCGUGAAGUACUGCAAUGAAAUCACAACGUCCUGCACUUUGUGAGGUCCUGAGCUGGGGAACAUCCCUCACGAGGCAUCGGCUCUGGGGUAGACAUGAGCCGGCUGCCCUUGCCUCUGCCACAGCAGCACAGCCGGCUUCCCUGAUCGAACGCCUCUGGCCCGGCCGGCGUGGCUCAGUGGUUGAGUGUCGACCUAUGAACCAGGUCAUGGGGUCUAUUCCUGGUCAGGGAAUCACAUGCCUGGGUUGCAGGCUUGAUCCCCAGUGUGGGGUGUGUAUGAGGCAACCAACCAGUGAUUCUCUCUCAUCACUGAUGUUUCUCUCUCUCUCCCUCUCCUUUCCUCUCUGAAAUCAGUAGAAAUAUAUAUUUUUUUUAAAAAAAAAGAGAAAGAAAUGCCUCUGUAGAUACAUGUGCCUUUGAUCACGCAGUGAGCCAUCGCUGCCUUCACAGGCCCUCGUCCUCGUAAGGAUCUGAGAGGGGUGCUUUCUGACGUCACUCUGAAGUGACCGCCGUGCACUGGCUGGAACAGUGUCAGUGAGACUUAGAGUAAUGGGUCGUGCAGGGAGGAACUCCAGCAGCCUCUCUGCUUAAAUCUGUUGUAAUGGAAGCUUGGGGUCUCCGGCGCCCCAGGAUCCAACAGCCUGAGUGCUACUGGCACUGGUGUCUUGGUAACGGGCCCUCUUCAGUGAUUACAAAUGAGCAGCCUUGCUUCUCUUGCAUUUCAUUUGAUUGCAGUACCUUCAGUCAUCAGCCUGGCUCAUCAGGCAUCAUCAUUUCAUGGGAGGGCUGAGCCGUGUGUCCUUCCCCUUCGUAGGAAGUGACUGCGGGUACAUGGGUUCUGUGUGUGUUCGUGUGUUAAAUGUUCCUUGGAGCCCAGAUGGCAUGGCUCAGUGGUUGAACAUCAACCUGUGAACCAGAAGGUCACGGUUUAAUUCCCAGUCAGGGCACACGCUUGGAGCUUGAUCCUCAGGCUCGAUCCCCAGUGUGGGGCUACAGGAGGCAGCCAGUCAGUGACUCUCUCUCAUCGUGGAUGUUUCUCUCUCCCUAUCCCUUCCUCUCUGGAAUCAAUAAAAAUAUGUUAAAAAAAGAAAGUUCCCUGGGUCCUGGUCAGUGUAACUCAGUGGUUAGAGCCUCAUUCUUUGCACUGAAGGGUUGUGGGUUUGAUCCCUGGUCAGGGUGUGUGUGAGGCAGCCAAUCGAUGUUUCUCUUUCUCUUCCUUCCUCUCUUUCUAGAAUCAAUGAAAAACAUAUCUUCGGGUGAGAAUUUAAAAAUUCCCUGGGCCCUGGCUGGCAAGCUCAGUGGUUAGAGCAUGCCCCUGCAUACCAGAGGGUCUCGGGUUUGAUUUUCGGUCAAGGGCAUGUACCUGGGUGUGGGUUCGUUCCCCUGACCUGGUCAGGGCAUAUGUGGGAGGCAACGGAUCAAUGUCUCUUUCUCUUUCUCUCCCACCCUCUUUUUGUCCCUCCCACUCCUUUCCCUUCUACUCUCUAUUAA